AAUAUAUUUUAGACCUAGUGGAGUAAUAGUAAUGAUAGUAUCUCUAAAUUGGAAUAUAUAUAUUGUACGUUUUAAUGGAUCACGCUACAAACAUAAUGAUCUUAUAAUACAUGUUGCAUUGCUGUGUUCGUUAUCGCAUAAUUCCCACUUUUGGACACUUUUGCUUUAACGGACAUUAGACAACACUGCAAAAUCAAGCUGUUAUAUUCAUAUAUUUAUUGUCCAACAUUCCCAAUUUUUCUUAUGCAUGUCCUUAAUUUAAUUUCCUGUGUUGUAUUAAUUAAGUGUUUAUAAUGCUAAUACUUGAACUUCAAAGAAUUUUAACCCAAAAUGGACUGGGUUUCUAGAGAGCAAAGGUUUUGUGAAAAAAGUGGAAGACUUGAACACAACGUGUAAAUAAACUGUAAAAAGGAUUUGAUGAUCACUAGUGAUAGUAUUUUAUUCUGUGUUGUCAUCAUUCAGGUUCGAUUUCAGCUUUAAUGUACGUUUUUUUUUUUAACAAAGCAACUUAUAUUACCAUAGAAACUAGUGGACUGCCGACUCGCUUUCACCCCAAAAUGGCGGAAACGCAGGGCUGCUGCUGGGCGCCGGUGUUGUAAUGGAACGUUCUAUUGAGUGUCGCUUCUUGUUAGUGUAUAUUCUUUGAUUGUAAUGAGAAACGUGAAGCUUUCAUGACGUUCUCGCGGGAGAUUCACGUGAAACUCGCGCGAGAACUGCCGUCUCUGUUAUUCUGUCUUGUUUGUUUAUCAUUAUCAUUAUCUGUUAUUCUGUGUAUUUUGUUGUGAGCAUUAAUAAAAAAAAACUAAAAAAAAAAAAAAAUAAAAAAAAAAAAAAAAACUGACGGCAUCCGACAUCUGCGUGACUUUUCGCUUGAGUUCUCGGCAGGCUUACGUCACGCUUCAAGUUACAUCAAGCAUGAACUCUCAACCCUCUCAUGCACGCGCAAGUGACAGUCGGUCGAAAGUUUAAAAUUUAAAAAUAUUUGGUACUUUUCUUACAAAUACGUAUCGUUUCACUUCAGAAGACAUUGAUUCAUCCGUUGGGGUCGUAUGGAUUACAGUUGUUAUUGCUGUAUGUGCUGUUUGAUGCUUCGACUUUUAGGAACACAUGAGCUUGCAUUAUAAAGCGUUCCCAGAGAUUAUUUAUUUUUCUAAAAACUUUUGUUUGUGUUCAUCUUAAGAAGGAAAGUCGUAUCUCAGAUGGCAUGAGGGUAAAAGAUGAGUAAACGAUUCAUCGGUGGAAAGAAAGAAAAAGAAGAAGAGGAUCAAGAGGAGGAGGAAGCCAGGCAAGAGAAACGAAUAAGAAGUGUUGUAACUUUAAAUCUGUUUUGAAACAAGUUGUUUUUCAAAUAAAGGUUUCCAAGUGAUA